rnacentral:rRNA from 1 species
AUUGAACGCUGGCGGCAGGCCUAACACAUGCAAGUCGAGCGGGGUUUUCGGACCUAGCGGCGGACGGGUGAGUAAUGCGUAGGAAGCUGCCCGAUAGAGGGGGAUACCAGUUGGAAACGACUGUUAAUACCGCAUAAUGUCUACGGACCAAAGUGUGGGACCUUCGGGCCACAUGCUAUCGGAUGCGCCUACGUGGGAUUAGCUAGUUGGUGAAGUAAUGGCUCACCAAGGCGACGAUCUCUAGCUGGUUUGAGAGGAUGAUCAGCCACACUGGAACUGAGACACGGUCCAGACUCCGACGGGAGGCAGCAGUGGGGAAUAUUGGACAAUGGGCGCAAGCCUGAUCCAGCCAUGCCGCGUGUGUGAAGAAGGCCUUCGGGUUGUAAAGCACUUUCAGCGAGGAGGAAGGGGUGUGUGUUAAUAGUACACACCUUUGACGUUACUCGCAGAAGAAGCACCGGCUAACUCUGUGCCAGCAGCCGCCGUAACAC